rnacentral:snoRNA from 1 species
UUGCUUUUGGGAUUGACUGUUCCCUCAUGUUAAAUAUCCAUCUAAAUCACUUUAUCAGUUGCCAUUUUGGUGGCACGCUGAUCAUCAUAAGAUAGUUUCCAA